UACGUAGGGUGCAAGCGUUAAUCGGAAUUACUGGGCGUAAAGCGCACGUAGGCGGAUUGUUAAGUGAGGGGUGAAAUCCCAGGGCUCAACCCUGGAACUGCCUCUCAUACUGGCAAUCUCGAGUUCGAGAGAGGUGAGUGGAAUUGCGAGUGUAGAGGUGAAAUUCGUAGAUAUUCGCAGGAACACCAGUGGCGAAGGCGGCUCACUGGCUCGAUACUGACGCUGAGGUGCGAAAGCGUGGGGAGCAAACAGG
rnacentral:rRNA from 1 species